rnacentral:tRNA from 1 species
AAAGUUAGUAUAGACAAAACAGUUGAUUUCGACUCAACAAACCAUAGUUCCACCCUAUGACUUUCUC